rnacentral:rRNA from 1 species
GACGAACGCUGGCGGCGUGCUUAACACAUGCAAGUCGAACGGAAAGGCCCUGCUUUUGUGGGGUGCUCGAGUGGCGAACGGGUGAGUAACACGUGAGUAACCUGCCCUUGACUUUGGGAUAACUUCAGGAAACUGGGGCUAAUACCGGAUAGGAGCUCCUGCUGCAUGGUGGGGGUUGGAAAGUUUCGGCGGUUGGGGAUGGACUCGCGGCUUAUCAGCUUGUUGGUGGGGUAGUGGCUUACCAAGGCUUUGACGGGUAGCCGGCCUGAGAGGGUGACCGGCCACAUUGGGACUGAGAGACGGCCCAGACUCCUACGGGAGGCAGCAGGGGGGAAUAUUGCACAAUGGGCGGAAGCCUGAUGCAGCAACGCCGCGUGCGGGAUGACGGCCUUCGGGUUGUAAACCGCUUUCGCCUGAGACGAAGCGUGAGUGACGGUAAUGGGUAAAGAAGCACCGGCUAACUACG